AUUGCACUAGUCCCGGCCUA
rnacentral:miRNA from 1 species